GAGUUGGAGCGGCGCGGGGCCUGCCGCGGCCGGGGCGGGGCGGCGGGAUGAGGAAGCGGCGGUUGUCCGUCGCCCGAUCCGUUCUGCUGGCGGCAGGGGAAGGCGGGAGACGUGGAGACGGCGGAGUUCAGUACAGCGGCAGCGAUGGCCGCGGCGUUUCCAAACCAGAAACCGAAUUUCUUCUUUUAAAGUUGCUGCUGGGGAAAGUCGUCACGUUGGCUUGACUGCACAAAUGUACGAGGGUUGCUCCGAAAGUAAUGCUUCCUGCUUUCUUACGUUGACCCACGGCGCCAGGGGCAGAUGUUGGUGGUUCGGCGGUAGAGGUCGAACCUUUACACCAGCACCCCGUUACACGCUGUUGCCGUGUGACAGAGGGCAGCAGAAGGGCUCUCUGACAGGAUGGUGCCUGACACAGAGGGGAGUUGGACCAAAUGAUCUUCAAAGGUCCCUUCCAAUUGAAAUGAUUCUGUGCCUUCAGAAUGCUUACAAAAGAGCUGCAAAUGCUUGAGUGCAGUUCACCUGCAGGAUCACACCCCAGGACCUUGGGUUAAUGGCAGCUCAUGCACCAAAUGCAGCUCUCAUACCCGACUCCACACAGCAGAGAAGGCUCUGCUUCUUCUAAUUAAGAAGAGAAUUUUGAAAUAUCUGCUGAAUUCUUGACCUUCAGAAUUCCCUCUGCCAGUGUUCCUCUGAUCUGGGCUCUCAAGGGCUUCCACUGUUCGUGUGAAAAUAGAGCAUCCCCUCAGUCCUGAGGCUCGACCAGAAGAGGUGAAGUUAGCAUCUGUGCUCCCUGAGUGUCCUUGUUGAGUAGGUCCGUGUUCCUUUGGUUCAUCAGCAAGGAGCCACCUGCAUCACAUGGACCUGUUGGUGUGCAUCCAGAGGAGUGCCACAAAAGUGAUCCAUGGGAUGGAACACCUUCCCUACGAGGACAGGCUGAGAAAGCCAGGGCUGCUCAUUCUGGAGAAGAGAAGGCUCCAGGGAAGCCUGAGAGUGGCCCUAAAGAGGGCUGUUAGAAAGAAGAGGACAGACUCUUUAGAAGGGUCCCUUGUGAUAAGACAAGGGAAAAUGGUUUCAAAUUAAAAGGGGAAAAUUGUAUAUAAGGCAGAAGUUUUUUACAAUAAGAGUGGUGAGGCACUGGCACAGGUUGCCCAGAGAAGCGGUGGGUACCCCAUCCCUGGAGACAUCCAAGGUCAGGCUGGAGGAGCUCUGAGCACCCGGAUGUAGCUGUGGGUGUCCCUGUUCAUUGCAGUAAGGUUGGCCUAGAUGGCCUUUAAAAGUCCCUUCCAACUGAAAUAAUUCUAUGAUCACGUGUAGCCCAGCAAAGAGAAAGGUGUUUCCUGCUUGCCCUUUGUCAGUGAAUCCUGGCAGGAUGGAUGUUAUGCUGGGAUGCUGCAGACCUGCAGCUUGGAGGAGACAGAGGUCAGAGGAGAUAGAUGGAGGCUAAGAGCUGCGAGUCAAAACCUUCAAAGCUGAAGUCCCCACUCUGCCUGCUGGAGAACAGAGUCUGUAAAACUGCAGGGAGGGCUGCUCUGCAGGGCUGGGGGCAGGCCCACUGUCCUUCCCCAACUGCUCACAGGGACUGCAUUCCCUUCAUCUCCAUGAGCUGCUUAUAAAUGCCUUAGCGGUGUAUUUCCCUUUAUCUGAGAAGAGGGAAAGAAGCAGUGUUAUUCUGCUCCUUUCCUUUCAGUCCUUUGCAGUUCACACCUGUCUCAUCUACUGUUUUUUUCCUUCCCUUUUGCUGCGGCGUGAGGCUCUGCGGCAUGGUGAUAGGACAGAAGAAAUCUUCCUGAGAAAUGUGAAACAGGGCCACACAAACUGAAUAUUGUGUUCCAGGCCUAAGACAGAGCAGCUGGGGAAGGGACCGUGCUCCAGGCUGCCCUGCAGCCCUGGUCGUCUCAGAUGGCUUCUCAGGGUGUUGGGUGGGGAUGGCCCUUUGUGUAGGCGAUCCCUAGAGGUGUGCUGACUGCACUGGGUGGAUUUCGGCACAGAAAUCUGAAUUGACUUAUUUCUGACCAACCCAAGGGACUUUGUCACCCUUUGAGGAAGGCUGAGAACAUCGGCUGGAGGACUGGUAGGUAGUAGAAGAGCUUCAGGGCACCUAUGGGCCUGGAAGUAAAUACCCAGGGUCACUCCACUUGUUAAUAUUGGUGUGUACUUCAGAGAAUCCACAGCUCUUCAUGAACACACAGCAGCUCUUCAGAGCUCUUUCAACGCCUUUCUGCCUCCUAUGACCAGCAAGGGUGCUGGUGUCUUGUCUUGGAGGAACUGCUGCAGAGAUCCAUUCCCUUUCUGCCUCUUGAUAUUCAUUUUACAUUAGCGUGUGAGUACCCACUCUAUACAAAUCUUUGGGUGGUUCUGCUGAAGAUGUUUCCAUGCUGUGCAGCACCGAAGAUGUUUUACUGCUGCUUCCCACGCUUAUCAAGAACUGAAGCCAAUAGUGAUUGUCUAAUCACUCAUACGCCCUCUCUGUUCUGCAACAGCGUUGUCAGAGUUUUCUAUCUAUGGCAAUUCUUUUGUUUGUUUCAUUUUUCCUGAUGUCUAUGCUGAGUUAGUUUUAGGAACAAAAGUCUGCUUUUAAUCAGUAUCCUAAAAAAUAAGUUUUUCCUGGAAGUAACUCAAGGAAUGGUAUCACUGGCGUCACUAGCUCCUUGAGACAAGCCUUCAGCUGCUGUGAAACACAAAGAUCUGCUGGCUCUCCUGCAGAGUUCCAGGCAUGUAGAUAAUGUAUGUUUUGCUUGUUCCAGGCAGCCCAGCCGCCCUUCAACACGCAAGGGUUCAUGUGUGGAGUGGGCAGUACCAUUCUGAGUGUGAGCUUCAUGUAAAUGCUUUAACAAUAUAUACCCUUUUAUCUGAAAAAAGGUAAAAACAAUCUUAUUCACCUGCUUUUUAUGAAUUUCAUGAAUGCUUUUCCUUCUACCAAUCCAUAUGGGUACAGCCAGCUUGUGAUUUUUCUCUAUAAGGUUUUGCGAGGUACGUCAAGGGAUGCUUCAAGUGAAGUGCUACCUCAAUGAAUAUGCCUUGCAAACCCGCAAAAUGACUUAUUUCACUCUGUUAAACUCACUUAAGCAAAAGCAUUUCCUAUCUAAAAGAAGGGUGUACCCUCUGUAUCUUUCACGCCACAAAUUUAUAAGUGCCUCUUUUUUUUCUUCCUUUUGGUUCACUCUCCUUGUUGCUGAGCCUUCAAAUAUUGUGAUCAGAAUACGGAAAGGUCUAUCGUGUUGCACAUGUAAGAGUGUAAAACUAGAAAUAUUGAUCUGAUUGUUCUUUCAGCUUGUAAGAGUUCAUCUAAUAGCCACAUUGAAGUCCUGCUUUUCUACUGCUUACUGAGUGAAAAACAAUUCUGUUUUGCCCUUCCUAGCCAGGAAGCAUCCUGCUGGCUUUUCACACCAUAGGCUUGCAGAUAGACUUUUUGCACUGAUUUAUUUUUUUCCUUUACCCUUAAUCUUGUGAGGUAGGUUGUAGCUAGUAGGAUGAUACAGAGUCUGAUCAUGUCCGUACUGAAGUCAGUGCACAACGUUGAUGGAUUUCAGUGGUCCUAGAUUAACUCAUUAGUUGUACCUACGUUUGCAGGCAGGCAAGGACUGUGAAGCAUGCCCAGAUUAUACCUGUCCCAGCAUGGACACAGUCUAGUUUGAUUUCCUUCACUGUAAUCCUAGGGGAAAUCACUAGGUAUGGGCUCAACAAAUUCCAGAAAAGCAGUGCACAGCCCAGCAGCUCUCACAGUGUUCUACCACUGACAAAUUGCAGUAGGUGCAAGCGUGAGAUAGAAAUACAAGAAACAAAUGCCCCAAAGAGAUGGGUGGUUCUGGCUAGUUUCAGUUGUCAUUGCUCAUCACCUGAAGGGCACUAAUGUUCCCUCACACCAGCAGUACCCAAUGCCCAUCACUCCUUUUUUGUGUUGCCUCUAGGGAGAUGUGUGCCAUGGCGCUUCUUUAGGAGGAUGUGUUUAUAAAUGUACAUGUGCACUAAGUCAUCGUUCAGCCUCUAAGGGGAGCUGGGACUCUGGAAAAUGCAAGAGGACCAGAAACAUUGGAAUACAAAGGUACUUGCCAUCAGCUAAAUGUGCUGGAAGAGAAAAUGAUCUCAUGGAAAUAUUUCCACACCUCUUUUAUCUUUUUUUUUCCCCCAAAGUUCUGGUACCAAACGUGACCCAUUAAUACUUUUAAUUUUGCCUACUUCCAAUAGAAAUAUUGAUGCAUAGAAAGGCAUAGAGUGACAGCAAACAACUUAUCAGUCUUCUUUCAUGAAGUUCCUCUGCCUCUCAGCUCUUCUAGUUAAAUAUUCUUUACUUGGAAAUGCUCUCCUAGUGUGUCCUUACUGGUUAGUUAUAAUCCUCUCCUGUUGGCUGUGAAGUGUCUCCCACUGAUCAAGUGCAGCAAAGUGCUGCUCCUUUCCCAGGCAAAAAUCUCUGCAGCUCCCCUGGCCUCAGGGUAACGUUGUGCCCCUAUGGAGCUUGGCACCAGGUCCUGCUAAGGUUCCCAUGUCUGCUAUCAAUCAAGGGAAGCCAUGGCUGGGAAGGGACUCUUUCUUUGUUAGUGCUCAGAUUCUCCCUGCAAGCUUAGUAUGAGUGGCUCAAGUCAGGAAAAGACCCAUCUUCAGUUGGGGUGAACUGGUACAAUGGCAUUCAUGAAGGAAACAGAAGGAAAACAAAGCAAAACCACAUGGCUUCUCCAGCUUCCCUGAAUGUGGGUCCAGGUCAGAUGUUACCUUAUCUAUAUGGACUUCCCUAUACCACUUUUCCUUAGUUAAGACAAGGCAUUAUUCAGACAAGCUUAGUCAGAUGCAAGCUGUCUUUCCUAAAAUCACAUUGCAUUUCACCUCCAUUUGUUUCUGCAUCUCAAUUACUAUUUCCUUCAAUACCUAUUUUAAAACUUUGUAUAUGAUGGAGGUCAGACUAAUGAUCUGUACUUUCAAAAUGGUUUCUUUCUCAGCUCAAGAUCUUACCCUAAAUUCGUUAAAGCUCUUUCAGUUAUUGAAGUGCCUGCUCAAUCUCCUCUACUUCUACUUUGUUAACACUGCAGUGUUCAGGGAAGAUUCAAUUCAAGGUGUAACCUUGAAUUGUCUGUAUACACAGGUUCUCUGACUGUUCAACAUCAAAUUACAUUUUCAAAGAAAUUGAACACCAUGCAGGUUAAGUCUCACUCUAUUUUCAGCCUUAAAUCUGUACAGAUUGUGAAAUAGCCUCUGCUCUGCACUGCAGUCAUAUCAAUAGUUAACAGACAUAGGCAAUGUGUUUCAUUUACUUGAGGCUCUCAGAUCAAUAGAAAGUGUGACACUUUUUUUUUUGACUUUCCUAUGCAAAAAUGUCAUCAAUUAUUAAUCAAAGCAUACCAAAUUUCAUUGAAGAUCUGACUUCCUGCAGCAAGAUACAGUAUCCUUAAAUGGUAAAGUGCGUUAAAUACUGCAUGCUGGAAUAGUUUUUAAUUGCGAUGUGGAAUGGAUCUAAUAGGAAAGUGUAAAUGAGAGUAAUAUGAGCUUCAAUAUGGGUACAGAAAGCAUGCAGAACAGCAUGCCAUAGAAAUGAUCCUGAAGGCCCUCAGGGCCCAUAUAAUCAUGAAUGUUGGAAGAGACCACUAAGAUCAUCCAGUCCAACCACCAGCCCAUCUCCACCGUGCCUACUAACCGUGUCCCUCAGUGCCACAUCCACACGGUUCUGGAACACUCCAGGGAUGGUAACUCUACCACCUCCCAUUUCAUCACUUCUAAUGAUUAAUCUGCAGCUGGGAGGCUCAGCAUGGGCAUUCACAUCUGUGCAGAGAGCCAACAGGCCCCAGAUCCACAUCUAUGGCCCAGCCCUGCGUGAGGAAGCAGGGAAUGCCAGAAACCAAAUGUCAAGGCUGGGGCUGUCUUCCAUGCAGUGGUCUCUGGUGAUCUUCAGCCUGGCUCUUAAGGAGAUCCUGAGCACCCCCAGCCUGCUGGAGCUGUGCUGGGCUGUGCCAGGAACAGUGCUGCUGAGGGAGCCAUGAUAGUUGCAGCACUGGACCUGGGCCUUGCUUCAGCUUCCAGCAAACAGCUUCCAGUAUUUAUUUCCCAGCUCUGUUGGCUUUAAAAAAGCUCAGUUUGAGCCAUGGCUGUCAGGAGCAUUAUGUUCAAAUGCGAGAUGAAAUGACUUAAAGACUCAUUUAGAAGGACUGUGAACCCUGUCAGAACUGAUAACCAAGGCCUUGCUUGCCUUAUUAUUUUCCCAUGCUCAAUUUAUUGAAUGUGUGCAGGGAAUGAGUUGAAAACAAAGUGCUGUGUUUGUGUGACAUAUUUAAAUUGUCUAUCAGUAGCCUCAGACACUGCGGUUAGCCAUUAAAUAAAUCACAGUUAACAGGCCAAUUCAGGGUGAUCUAUUUUGGUAUUUACAAUAGUGGCCUAGGAGAGGAAACAGAGGCUUUUUGCAGGGAAAUAAGGACCCAUCCAUCCCAGGGCCCUCCAAGUAAAGUAUCAAAUGCUUCUGAAAAUGGUAUUUUAAAAUAUAGUAUGGAAUGAGUUUCCAGCUUCUCCCAGGAGUGGAAAGCAGGCCAGUUUCUCUGCUUUGCCCUUUCAGUUUUUACAUGAUCUAUGUGUUCAUUUUGAGCUAAAUGGAAGAACAUUGUGUUGGUUGGGUAUUUUUAUUUUAUUUUUAGAAGAUUGUUUUCCUUUAAUAAGAUUGGAAUCCGUGCCUUUGGAACUCACCUGUUGCCAAGCUCAGCAGAUGAAAGUGGACAGCCUUGUCAUUAAUUGCAACAAGGCAAGUAGAGACAGCACUGCACGUGAUGACUUCACAGGCUCUGUGUGUGUGUGUGUGUUUGUGUGUGUGCAUGCAUGUGCUGGUGCUUUCCUUCUUGCUGCAGCAGCUCCUGGAAUCGUGAGGGUGCUGCUGUGUUUUGCACCUGCUUGGAGGCUCCCAGCCUGGGGGCUGCCAGAGCAUCCUUGUGUAAGUGAGGCUUAAUGUAGUGAUGCUGAGGUAGUUUGGGGUUUGGAUCAUGCUCUGCUUCUCAGUCAUGGUGUUUAUUUGCUUGAGAUCUCAUCUAUGUUGAGAAAAGUGAAAGUUCUAUUUUCUUCUAGCUCAUUUUAGGCUCCCUUUUGCAACUUUUAAUGCAGUGCUGUAACAGUUAGCAGGAGAGAGCAUACUGAGGGGGCUGUUUGCACUGAGGUUUACAUUCCUAGUGCAAAAUAUAUACAUAGAAAAUAUGUUUUCGUUACUUAAAGACUUAACUUGCUGACAUCCUUCAGAUUUCACCUCAAUUCACAGUAAUGCCCAAUCUGAAGCAGUGAACCUCCUAUGAUGGCACCAGGCUGAGUGGUGCAGCUGACACAAUAGGAGGAAGGGAUGCCAUUCAGAGGGACCUGGACAGGCUUGUGGAGUGGGUCCAUGAGAACCUAAUGCAGUUCAACAAGGCCAACUGCAAAGCAUUGCGCUUGGGUCAGGGCAAUCCCAGAUAUGAGCACAGAAUGGGAGCAGAACUCAUUGUGAGCAGCACUGCUGAGAAGGACUUGGGGGUCCUGGUGUACAAAAAGCUUGACAUGAGCCAGCAGUGUGCGCUUGUAGCCCAGGAAGCCAACAGUCUCCUGGGCUGCAUCAAAAGAGGGGUGGCAGCAAGGCGAGGGAGGUGAUUGUCCCUGUCUGCUCUGCCCUUGUGAGGCCCCAUCUGGAGUACUGUGCCCAGGCCUGGGGCCCCAAGCACAGGAAGAAACAGGAAGCAGAGAUAUGGCUCAUGCAGGUGGGCAGCUGUGCUCAUCCCCAUUCCCAGGCAGGGAAGCUGAGGCGCAGAGGCCCUUGGGAGGUUUGUCCAAGGCUGGAGAAGCUCUGGAGCAGAAAUGGGAAGAGAAGAAAGCACAUCUUGUGAUUGCACAACCACGGCUCCGUCCCUGGAGGCCAGCAUGUGGCAUCAAGGAAGCUAUUGGACCCUGGCUAAAGCACUGGCAAUUUUCUCUCCUCUCUAGCUGGUGAGUGAAUUUAAACAGACUCAUUCCAGUCAUCCUGGCCAUGGUUUAGUGAUGGGGAUCUGUAGUCAGCUUGAUGGUUGGACCUGAUGAUCUUGAAGGUUGUUUCCAACACAGAGUUAUUCUGUGCUGAUUCUAUGAUGUUCCUCGCUAACCCUAGAAACCACAGUAGUAAAAGGGACAAGAACUGGCCUCUUCUGCCUUUGAGUUUACUAGGAAGCUUUAUCUGUUCCUUUGAAUCACGACCCAGCCUUGUUGCCUGUCAAAGCCAAAGGGGGCUGCGUCAUGAGGGCUGCAGCAUGCCCCACAUGCCCUCUCAUGCCCAAAUACACAGCCAUGGGCCAUGCUUUAAGGCUCUGGGCAGAUAGGAGGAGCAGACUGUAGAUAUGCCAACACCUGCAGAGCAUGCCUGCUGUUUCCUGCUGAACUGGGGCCAUUUGUGGGGCACGGUGGGAGCAGAAGGGAGCUGCAACCCUUCUGUCCUCUCUUGUCACCCUCCUUCUGGGGGGCCUGCAUCCUGUCCCUGUCCAGAGCAGAAUUUGGGGACUGGAGGCAGCAGACAGAGCACAGAGCUGUGGUAAAACAGAGCUCUGUUCUUCCCUCUUUACACAAACAAAAGUCCCAUUGAAAGCGGUCAGACACUGAAUCUAAUGAUUGAAAUAUAUAUAUAUAUGCAUACAUAUAAAAAAUUGGAGUAUUACUGUUUCAGCUCUACUCUCCCUUGAUUUUAAUUUUCUUUGUGGAGUUCAAACAUAGAGUGUUCCUUCAGUGCUUACUUUCAAAGCCUUUUUUUUUUUUUUGGCUAUCACAUCUAAACUCUCUUAGAUUUUUGUCCCAGCUGUGGAAGGCAAGGACAGCGAGGGACAGAAAAGUCAGAUGCUGUCUUACAACACUGGCACCUUUAAAGAUCAUCCUUGAAAUACAGGAGGAAAAAAAAACCUGACAAUAAAUAACACUUUGUUUUUUUUUUAAAGCAAGUUUUCUUCUUGAGUGUGAGGUCUUUCCCCACUUUCAGAGCAUGAACUAAUUAAAGUGCGUGUGUGCAUAAUCCUGCUUUGCCUCUAAACCUGUCAGUACUGUUAUUUCUUUUUUUGCCCUCACUUUUGCUCCUGUUUCAUCUCUGGAGUGGACACUGCUAGGAGAGUAGGUGCCCUUGGAAAGGAGAAAUGCCUGAGCUUAUGCCAGCACCACUGUCCUGGUUUUUCGGCACAAGCAGGUUUGUGACACGUGCCCUGUGCCGCACGCGCCCUGCCUGAGCUGCCGCCAGCUCUCAUGGGUUUCAUUGCCAUUCCUCACUUGUGCUGUGGUUUUGGGGCUCUGCUUUGAGCCCUGAACUCGAUGGCUGAAAAUGUGCACCUUUUUCUUUUCCCCUCUUGGAAGGCAAAGUUUGAUUUCUUUAUUUUUCUCAGAAUAAAUGAGAGAACUGAAGUUAGAAUUCUAGUAGUAGUACUGGAUCCACUGUGUCACGCUUCCACUUUGUUGUCCUUCUUCCUCCGCAGGCCUCCUUGUCAUAGCUCUGCACAGGACAUGUGACAUAAAUAAUGCAGCCUUCACUGGGUCCGGUAGCCCUGAGUGCCAGCUCUGGUAGCAGCAGCUGGGUUUGCUUUCCUAGGUUAGAGUGAACUACAAGCAUCUUUGUCAGGUUUCUCUCAAAUACUGAAACAUAGAAUCAUUAAAGUUGGAAAAGACCACUAAGAUCAUCUAGUCCAGCUGUCUGCCUACCACCAGUAUUGUCCUCUAAACCCUCCGUGCCACAUACACACGGUUCUUGAACACCUCCAGGGAUGGUGACUCCACCACCUCCAUGGGCAGCCUGUGCCACUGCAGCACCACUCUUUCUGAGAGGAAAUUCUUCCAAACAUCCAACCUGAGCCUCCCCUGGUGCAACUUGAGGUUGUUACUUCUCAUCCUAUCUCUGUGACCUAGGAGAAGAGUCCGGCCCCCACCAACUUUCAGGUCAUUAUGGAGAGUGAUAAGGCCUCCAUUGAGCCUCCUCCAGACUGAACAACCCCAGUUUCCUCUCCAGAAGACAUCCAUCAGACAACCUGUGAAAUGUGGAGGUGAUCCAAGGGCUGGCUUUGACACACAGCCUUCCUCAUCCUGGAUAACUGGGAGACUGUCUUCCCAUGGAGGAAGCUACUCCAGAUGAAGCUGAGGAGGAAGAGAAGGAGGGUUUUGCUGGAGCAUCCCAAGCACUUCAGGUGUGUGUACCAGGACCAGAGGUUCCUGGCGUAGCACCUGCCAAGAAAGGGCAUGGGAAGGGAAGGUGGCAGAUGUAAAUGUAUGGUGUUGGUUUAUAGAGUGCGCUGCGUGUUUGUAAAACACCUCAGCAAUACAGCCGGGGAGGGCGAUUAGCUAAUUUCUUCCUCCUUUAUUUUCUCUGCAUGAGGCAUUUAUUUGUGCAGAGUAAUUAGUGGGGAUCUGUGCAGGUGUGUGCCAUCUGGAGUGCACCCAAUUAAGUCAAGAGAAUAAAAAAUGGGCUGGGAGAAGAUGAGCAGGAGAGGAGAGCUGGGAAUAACACCUCAAUGGGGUCCCUGUUCAUCCCAGUGGCUGAAUGUCUCAGAACCUUGGAGAGACCCAGGGAUCCUCAAGCUCGUUUUACAGAGAGGCUCAUUGACUCAAAGAAGUGGGCCCUGAUAGGUGUCCACCAAGCGGACCACAUUUGUGGCUCAGAGCAGCCAUUGCUUGUCCAGCAUCUUGCACAUGCUUGUGCCACCAGAAGUACAAGGUUGUGGCUGGCUAUUGCUGAGGUCUGGAGAGCAGAAGAUGCAAAUCUGUAGAAAAACAGACUCCUUUAAUCCCAUGGCUUUGUAAAUAAGGGUGUGAGGACGAGGAAGAGUAGUCACUGCCAGGAUGCUUGUGAUUCUUAGGACAGUGUCAUUAAAGCUAUGAAAUUAAUAUUCUUAGGUGCACUACAUCUCUGGAUGCUCCUAUUCAGAAAUCACUUUUUUUUUGCUAUCAGGUCUUUGGUUAGAUUGUUAAAGAAUAAUUAGAGGGCCCCAGCCAGAGCUCAGAGAGGCAAACUAUGUGAAUCGGUCUGCACAUAGGUGGGGAAAACUCAGGCAAGUUAAAGAAAGCACCUCUAGAACCCAGAAAGGGAGAGCAUCUGCAUGCUCUGCCUCUAUGUGAAAUGCAUCUCUCCAGCUAGAUUUUUCAGGGGAUUACUCUGAAGAGGCUGUGUUGGCUUUAUUUCCUAAGCGUGUCAGAGAGGCUCUUCUGAGAUUGCUGAUUGUAGUCUCAUUUCCACUCCAUUUUGUGAGAACUGCAGAUUCUCAGCUAUGCCUGUUAUGAAGCCACAUUCUCUCAAGUGCGUUAAAAAAAAAACACACCCAUACAGCCAUGCUUACCCAUCUCCUCUAUGGGGACUUGAAAGAUUUUCUGCAUAUGCUGUAACAAUCUCAGCAUCUCUUGAGCAGCUCAAGUAUUUCUUCUGUUUAAAAAUGUCACAAACCCACUUCCUAAACCAGAGUUCCAGAUGUGUUGUUAGAGGGGGUCGAUGAAAUGUUUAUUUAUUUAGAACAAGUAAGCAUGCCCUCCUUCUGAGAAUGUGGCCCACUGCAUCUACCUAGACUGCAGUGCAGACUGGGGAACCCAUUGGUACCAUUGGUGUCCGCUUGUGCCACAGCUCCUGUGGGCUCUAUAUUAAACUGGGCCCUUCUGGGAGCACUGUUGCACUGCCAUGCAGUUUUAAUACAAUAUGCAGCAAGCUCAUGGUUCCUCUAUUCCUCUGGUCUCUCAUUUGGUGGGUGCCGUGUGCUGGUCUUGCUAUGUGGUACCAUUGUGACCACUGGCAAAGCUCUCAUUGGCUUUGAUAAAUGCCACACUGAGGCUGGUUUCUGCCUUUCUUCCAGGUGCCUUCAUGGUAAAAAGCUGGGAUUUUCAAUUCUCCAGACAUCUUUCUGGAGCUACACAGAAAGAAAUAGUCUUGGGGCUGGCUGACCAUACCAAGUGAGCUAAACUGGGAGUCUUCCUACUGUGCCAAGUGUACAGAGUCCCAUGGUAUAACCGCUGUAAGACAAAAAGCAGGCUAGUGAAGGGCUUGGAAAAUCAGCCCUAUGAGGAGAGGCUGAGGGAGCUGGGGCUGUUUAGUCUGGGGAAGAGGAGGCUGA